rnacentral:rRNA from 1 species
GGUUAAGUUAGAAAGGGCGCACGGUGGAUGCCUUGACACUAGGAGUCGAUGAAGGACGGGACUAACGCCGAUAUGCUUCGGGGAGCUGUAAGUAAGCUUUGAUCCGAAGAUUUCCGAAUGGGGAAACCC